CCCUUCCUUGUCUUGGGGUGGCUGAGAAACUCAAUGAACGUGUAGUGAGGGUUUCUCUGCUGACACCAUAGCAACACAAAAGCAUCACCUGAUAUUUACUUUCAGGAUCAGAUGCAAUUUUUGGAAAC